rnacentral:other from 1 species
CCCCUGAGCCGAUAUUUCAUACCACCAGACUGUGGCGCUCCACGGUUGGUGAGCAUGCUCGGUUCGUCCGAGAAGCCUUACAACCGUGACGACACAUUCACCUUGAACCACGGGUUCAAGGGUUACAGCCUGCGGCGGCAUCUCGGAGAGGCC